AUGCACGCACUCACUCUCCUUUACGACAAGGAGAACAAGCCGAACAAUGGCAGGGAGGCAGGCAAGGUAGCUCUCCACGCUCAGGCAAUGGGCGAGGCAGCCUUUAGCAUGUGCAGGGAGAGAGAAAAGGAAGCAAUGAAUGAAUGUAGGGGAGGGAGAGGGGAGGAGGAGGAGGUGCGAGAAAUGACGAGUAAAGUACGUGGGGGAUUUAUGGGCUGGGAGGCACAAGAAGUGUCGGUAGGGGUUUCAAGCUUUGCUCUGCUCAGCUCGCUUGUCUUGCUGAGCUAUCCAACCAACGGGUUGGAGGUGUCUGUGGGUUGUAAUUGUGUUUGA
rnacentral:rRNA from 1 species